AGUGAACGCUGGCGGCGUGCCUAAUACAUGCAAGUCGAACGAUGAAGUCCUAGCUUGCUAGGAUGGAUUAGUGGCGCACGGGUGAGUAAUAUAUAGUUAAUCUGCCCUACACAGAGGAACAACAGUUGGAAACGACUGCUAAUACCUCAUACUCCUAUUUGACAUAAGUUAAAUAGGGAAAGUCUUUUCGGUGUAGGAUGAGACUAUAUCGUAUCAGCUAGUUGGUAAGGUAAUGGCUUACCAAGGCUAUGACGCGUAACUGGUCUGAGAGGAUGAUCAGUCACAUUGGAACUGAGACACGGUCCAAACACCUACGGGAGGCAGCAGUAAGGAAGAUUGCGCAAUGGGGGAAACCCGGACGCAGCAACGCCGCGUGGAGGAGGACACUUUUCGGAGCGUAAACUCCUUUUAUCAGGAAAGAAUAAUGACGGUACCUGAUGAAUAAGCACCGGCUAACUCCGUG
rnacentral:rRNA from 1 species